rnacentral:rRNA from 1 species
UACGUAGGGGGCGAGCGUUGUCCGGAUUCAUUGGGCGUAAAGAGCUCGUAGGCGGUUUGUCGCGUCUGCCGUGAAAGUCCGGGGCUCAACUCCGGAUCUGCGGUGGGUACGGGCAGACUAGAGUGAUGUAGGGGAGACUGGAAUUCCUGGUGUAGCGGUGAAAUGCGCAGAUAUCAGGAGGAACACCGAUGGCGAAGGCAGGUCUCUGGGCAUUAACUGACGCUGAGGAGCGAAAGCAUGGGGAGCGAACAGG